rnacentral:rRNA from 1 species
GACGAACGCUGGCGGCGUGCCUAAUACAUGCAAGUAGAACGAAGUUGCGAACGGGUGAGUAACGCGUAGGUAACUGCCUCAUAGCGGGGGAUAACUAUUGGAAACGAUAGCUAAUCCCGCAUACUGUGAGAUGGACCGGCGGUGUAUUAGCUUGUUGGUGAGGUAAAGGCUCACCAAGGCGACGAUCCAUAGCCGGCCUGAGAGGGUGAUCGGCCGCACGGGGACUGAGACACUGCCCAGACUCCUACGGGAGGCAGCAGUAGGGAAGAUUGCGCAAUGGGCGCAAGCCUGAUGCAGCCAUGCCGCGUGGAUGAAGAAGGCCUGCGGGUUGUAAAGUACUUUCAGCGGGGAGCGUUACCCGCAGAAGAAGCACCGGCUAACUCCGUGCCAGCAGCCGCGGUAAUUC